rnacentral:lncRNA from 1 species
UCCUAACACGAUCGGGGUUGUUAUGGGGACCCCCUUGAUAAAUCGCGUAGUGUUAAGGCUUGUCCGGCAGGACCCGACAUUGGUACUAUUUGCUAAUCACUUAAUAAUAAACUGCAUAGGGAAUAGCUACCCCGAGGUUUCUUAAUCAACAACCCGGGCCAGUGCUCCUCAUGAGUGUUGGUCCAAACCAGAGCAGCUUAUUACGCUCCCCGGGGCAACUCGGAGUUUUGGCGUGGUAACCAUCGCUCAUCCGGCGUGUCCUGAGACUGAGAUACGCGGCUCUUAUCAGGGUCGUCGACGCGUCGGGAGGUCCUGCUAGCCUUGUCUUACCUUAGCGGUAUAUCUUGCGUAUAGGAAUUCCGGUGAAGCUUUGGUUUUCCCCAGAGUUGAGGCUUUCCUCUAAGGAAUCCGACGAGAUCACGAGAUUCGUGAUAGAGGAUGACUUUGCGGCCUGUGUUCGUUUGUGAUGGACUAGUUGGAGCACCCCUGCAGGGUUUAAUCUUUCGGAAAGCCGUGCCCGCGGUUAUGUGGCAACUUGGAAUAUUUUGUUAACAUCCGGUAUUAGAAAACUUAAACAUAAACUAAUAAAAUAUGCCAACUGUGUGCGUAACCGUGACUGUCCCUUCGAAGAUCUCUCUUCGAUCGGGAACACGGUGGGGUUAUGAAUGCCGUAGGAAGGUGUUCAGGAUCACUUUCUGAUCAAGUAUUCACGAUCGUUAGUAUAGAACACUGUCACUUCUCCUUUGCGUAAGCUAGCCACUUAUUCAACCUUAGGAUGCAGCAGCUUGAAACACUUCACCCCUUCCUUACCCAAUAACAUGACUAGUUCUGGCACCAAGGUCUUAGAUUGCUGAGUCCCCGUGACUCACGGAUUCCUCCGAAACUCCCAGCAGGUACAGGUACCCCAGAGGCAGAUGAUCCCGACGGCACCCAGCUGGCGUGGCAGUACGACGAGGAGACAGAUCGCCUUUACGUGAACUAUCCAGAGGACUGAGCCGUGGUCGUGAUCGUGGGCCUGCAGCGGGUAGCAUAGCAUUUUCCUUGUUUUGUAGUCCGUACCGGAACUACCUUGUUUGUAUCUGCGUUGUACUCUGUAUUUUAAUAAGAAGACAGUUGAAUCCCAGAUUGUCUACUUUAUUUAUUAUUAUGUGCUAUGUUUACUUGCUUGCAAAACACUUAGAUGCGCUUCUUUCCUAUUCGGGGGCCUUGACCCCCAGAUCGGAAAGGACCGCAUCUUGGUCGUUACAGCUGUCCCCUGUGGCCGCAAGGAUUGCUCACCCCCUCCAGUCCGCAUUCCUGAAGGGCAGACGGAUUCAUGAUGGGAUCCUUGCCCUCCACGAGAUAGUCCACGAGGUGGCAUCCAAGGGUCUCAAGGAGGUCUUCCUCAAAUUGGACUUCCAGAAGGCGUAUGAUCGGCUUGAUUGGUCCUUUUUGAGGAUGGUGAUGCAGCGGCGUGGAUUUGACGAGAGGUGGUGCUCCUGGAUCAUGCAACUAGUUAGAUCCGGUAGCACCGCGAUCAAUAUCAAUGGGGUAGUAGGCCCCUUUUUUCAGGCUUCCAGGGGGGUUAAGCAAGGUGACCCUAUUUCCCCCUGCUUUUCAACCUUGUUGUCGACGCCCUCACUGGCAUCCUGGAUAAAGCGAAGCUAGCCGGUCAUAUUCAGGGGGUGGUUGGCCACCUCAUCUCGGGUGGUGGUGUAUCCCACCUCCAAUACGCGGAUGACACCAUGAUCAUGGUCACAGGAUCCGACUCGGACAUUGCUAAUCUUAAGUUCCUUUUGCUCUGCUUCGAGGAAAUGUCGGGACUUAAGAUUAACUUUGAUAAGAGUGAGGUUGUGGUCCUGGGCUACUCCGAGGAUGAGCAGCACAGGAUCGCAGACAACCUCAACUGCAAGCUGGCGGUCUUCCCCAUCUCUUAUUUGGGAUGCCCUUGGCUGAGUCCAGGAUCUUGGUUAGUGGGUUUGAUCCGCUUGUGGGACGAAUAGCGUCCCGUGCGGAGCCCUGGUGCGGUAGAUUCACGUCUAAAGGGAGCAAGUCUGUCCUCAUCAGCUCUAACCUUGCGAGCCUCCCCAUGUAUAUGAUGGGGAUGUAUAUCUUGCCCGAAGGUGUGCACAACACCUUUGACAAGGAGCUGGCUAGGUUCUUCUGGCAGGCAGGGGAUGGUAGACCAAAGUACCACAUGGUGAAGUGGGCUGAUAUUUGCUUGCCGAAGGACCGAGGGGGCUUGGGCAUCCCUGCGUCCCGCCGAAUGAACAUUGCCUUGAUGUUCGUUGGGUGUGACGGAUCCUGCAGGGAGACGGGGGUUUGUGGCUUCAACUGAUUAAGGCCAAGUACUUGCGGGGCAGACCCCUCUUGGCCUGCUCGCUCGCGCAUGGAUCGCAUUUCUGGAAAUCUAUCCAGAACAUCAAGAACGAUAUUAGGUUGGGUCUACGGAUCUCGGUGGGCAGUGGUUCUGAGACCCAGUUUUGGUUAGACCCCUGGUUGGAUGGAGAGCCUCUGCGAGUACGGUUUCCGAGGCUCUUUGCUAUUUGUGACGAUCCUACUGUCCUUGUCUCGGCGUCUGCUUCUGAGGACGGAUGCCAGGUUGCGUUCCGUCGUCCCCUCGGUCCAACUGAGGUCCUGGACUGGGAUGUACUGCAGGCAGUGGUCCCUCUCCCGACCUCAUUGGACAGGGAUAGUGUUUCUUGGAGUCUGUCUCCCUCAGGAGAAUUCUCCGUUAGUUCGGCCUACCUGGCUCUGUGCAGGAUGCCGGUCCUCCCGUGGUUAUCCCCACUUUGGAAGGCACCGCUGCCCGUGAAGAUUAAGAUUUUCGUUUGGCAGCUUCUCCGAGACCGCUUACCUUCAGGGACUGAGGUACUGAAACGUCACGGUCCGGGUAACGGCACUUGUCCCUUGUGCCAUGUCCUGGAGACUGGUCCUCACAUUCUGUUCUCUUGCGUCGCGGCACAGCCCCUUUGGUGCUUUGUACGUGAGGCCUUGGGACCGGAAUGGGAGGCCCGUGACCUUCCAGACUUUCUGCAGCUACGGGCCACCUAGGUCGGCCGUAAACGCCAACUGUUCUGGCUGGUCUUCGCCGCCAUGAUGUUGACUCUUUGAACUUCUCGCAACAAAAUGGUGAUUGAGAGGAUCUUCCUGCGGCGUGCUUCUGACUCAUUCUUCAAAUUCAUUGCCUUUUUGCAGCACUGGCAUCCGCUCAUUAGGACUCGAGACCGCGUCCGUCUUCAGUGCUACAUGGACGCGCUGAUUGCGACCGCCCGACGGCUCUCCGCUCCCUCGCCUGUUACUUAGCCUGCUCCUAGGAAGGCAUUUUUUGUUUCUUUCUCUUUUCUUGGGCAGGAUUCUGCUGGUGCCCCAACGUUUCUUUUGUGUUAUCACUCUGUUGGAUGUAUUGUUUGUCUGCAUGCUGGAUGUUGUGCUUUAUAUAUAAAGCGGGGCGAAAGCCUGUUUCGAGAAAUAAAGGGUUGGCCAUGUCUAACUGGGUUUCCAAAUGUGUCAUUGGUGAAAAGGAAAAUAAAAGGAAGUGAUUAUUUUGUACUUUAAUUAUUGAAUCUUUACCUAAUAUUACAGGACAAAUCGUUUCUCCAUUUUAUUUCGUCAUCAAUUCCUUUACUACGUCAUCCUUUUCUGUUUUAUGUACGUGGUCGAGCCGAGUUGUGGAACCAACUCAUCAUGCUGGUGAUCAUGCAUAAAAAAAGGAAGGGAAUCGUUUUCAUACCGCGCGCCCCCUCCCGCACGCGGGGGUCCAUGCAACAUUUUUCCACCAGCGCGCUUCGCUGGUCGGUGGAUGCAACAUUUUUCGUCUAAAUUUGUUGCAACCAGCGUCAUAUUUGCUGCAAGCGUUUUUUUACUAUUUUUUAUCUCAGUAAAAAAAGCUGCAUAUACGUUUGGUUGCAACUCCAGUUCGUCGGAUUUUUCGUUACAAUCGAUGUUUUUUAAUUUUUGCUACAACCGGCAUCAUGUUUUGAUGCAACUGUUCACUAAAAAAGUUGCAUACACGUCACGUAAAUAUUUGUUAAAACCGGCGUUUGACUUUUGCUAUCACACACCAUCAGCUUCGUUUUUUUGCUACGAUCACGUAGAUAUUUUUUUGCUACAAAUUUUGUUUUUUGUUACAACCGUUAAAAAAAUUGCUGCAUCACAUCGAAAUUUUGCUGCAUAUGAAGAAAAAUGUUGCAUGCAGAUCCAAUGGUGCGGACGCACGGAGUUGGUGGAUCGUGCGGCCCGCGCGCGGCCGACCGAAAGUUUCGGCCCGCGCGCCGGCGUAGAUCACUCCAAAAAAGGAAAUAACUUUUUUUAUAGACGGAGCAGGUUUUAUUAAAAAAAGAAAGGUCAUACCGGACAGCUGCUCACUCUAAAGGCAAAUAGUAAUCUCCACAUAUCCAGAAAUGGGUGCUCCAUGCACACAAAAAAAAGUUGCACACCAUGUGUAACGGUUGUUUGCCUCGAAAAAAAAUGUGUAACUGUGGUCGCCGCAUGCACCUCAAAAUAGAAGGUUGUCCGAUGCACUUUUUUUAACACGGUACAAACGUAAGCGUUCAUAUAUACAUUUAUCCAUAUAAACGUAUACACGUACAUUCUAUCCUUAUGAACAUGUCUGAAAUACUGAGCCGACAUAUCAUGUUUAGGUUUACGAAGCCAUAAUUGGUGCCUCGACGUCGAGAAAAACGUCUCCUCUCACAAAAAGUGCAUCGUCGGAAAUCCUAAAAUAAAUUCAGAAAUAAUGCAAACACCAGAUGUUUAGUGGGUUGGGGAUACCAUUCUUCUUCUAACCAUCCAACCACAGGUUGAUUCGCGGUUGUCCCAUGCACCUAAAAAAAGGCUGCCCCAUGUAUGUGGCUGAUGUAGUUGCCCGAUGCAUUAUUGUUUUGUUCUGAA